CACGUAGGCGGAUGUGUCAGUCAGGGGUGAAAUCCCGGAGCUCAACUUCGGAACUGCCUCUGAUACAGCACGUCUUGAGUCCGGAAGAGGUGGGUGGAAUUCCUAGUGUAGAGGUGAAAUUCGUAGAUAUUAGGAAGAACACCGGUGGCGAAGGCGGCCCACUGGUCCGGUACUGACGCUGAGGUGCGAAAGCGUGGGGAGCAAGCA
rnacentral:rRNA from 1 species